CAUUCUGUUUACUCAAUUUUUUUUAUUUUACUCAUUUUUUUUUUAAUUCUGGCUGUUUACUGCUUGAAUCUUUCUUUUGAGCGAAUUUAUUGAACUAGGUGCAACUAAUUAGAAAGUAUUUUUUUUUCAUAGUGAGAGGUUUAUAUAUGGUAUGUUCAUAGACUGUUUAAUAAAAUUUAUAAAAAAUAUAUACAUACGUUUAUCCAUAUCCGAUCUAGACCCAAUCCAUACCUGACCAUACCCGGUCUUAAACAGGUAGUAUAUGAGUAGUCGUUACCCAGGCCCGUUCAAAUAGACCUGAUGAAUAUAUUAUUAGCUUAAGUACACAGAUCCGGAUCCGAUCUGAAGAUAAAUAGGUAGGGUAAUUUUUUUUAAAAUCUUUAUUUUUUAGGGUAUGUGUAUAGUAUAUCAACUAUCUAGAUCCGAUCCGGUCCGUCGA
rnacentral:lncRNA from 1 species